GACGAACGCUGGCGGCGUGCUUAACACAUGCAAGUCGAACGGGCCCGCUCUCUUUUUUGGGGGUGGGUUGAGUGGCGAACGGGUGAGUAUCACGUGAGUAACCUGCCCCCUGCUCCUGGAUAACUGCUUGAAAGGGCGGCUAAUACGGGGUGUGCCGGCUGGUCCGCAUGGGCCCGGCCGGGUUAGUUUCAUCUUCGGGUGUUUCGGCGGGGGCUGGGCUCGCGGCCUAUCAGCUUGCUGGUGGGGUGAUGGCCCACCCGGGCGGUGGCGGGUAGCCGGCCUGAGAGGGUGGGCGGGCAAACUGGGAGUGAGACACGGCCGAGGCUGCUGCGGGAGGCAGCAGUGGGGGGUAUUGCACAAUGGGCGGAAGCCUGACGCAGCGACGUCGCGUGGGGGAUGGAGGCGCUCGGGUUGGGAACCUCUUUCUCCGGUGGUGAAGGCCCUGUCCGGUGCGGCGGGGUUGACGGUAGCCGGGAAUGAAGCGCCGGCUAACUACGUG
rnacentral:rRNA from 1 species